CUUUUAUUUCAUUUCACUUACAAACUCACUCACAAGAGAAAAAAAACCUCUGAACAAAGUGUCUCACUCACAAACUCACAAAACCCUAACUCGAUGAACCAACAACUCACAAAAUCCCGAAAUGUCACAUAACUCACUCACGAAUCACUCGACCUCGCCGGUAUCACUCACCGACCGAAAUCCACCGAAACCCCUCACCGUUGACUGAAUCACUCACCACUCACCUUUCCCUUACCUCACCGGAGAUCUCAAACUUCACUGGUUUCUCAAUCGUAUCCUCUUUCCCUUUCUCAAACGUCACCUGUCUCUUCUUCAAGCACCCACUGUAAUUGGAGAAAAAGAAUAUUGGGUACAUCGUGGGAGAGUAGAAAAGCAAUAGGAAAAGGAAGCCAAUUUCGUUAUAGCAUUUGCAAAAAAGUGAGCAGGAGAUACCAUAGUUGAAGUUGACUAACAGUUGACCACCGGGAAAACUUAGUGAUCAGCGGAAUCGCAUUUGUCACAAGAAGUCAACCACUGAGUCAUUUGUUCAUAUUGCAGCACUGACUCAGCCUGAAGCACCAGCUAAGCUUGCAGCACCUUCUCAGAAGUCUACCACCGAGUCAUUUGUUCAUACUGAAGCAUCGGCUAAGCCUGCAUCAUUGGCUCAGCCUGCAGCAUCGGCCCAUAGUUCUACCCCUGAAGUAUUCAUGUUUAUGCCAACUCCAAGAAUGGGCAUUCGAACAAUGGUUGGAACUUCACAAUGCGCCUCACGUGAGGCUCUGAUAGAGGAGAAUAAUGUGCAACAAAUAUCCGAUGAGGAGGUGGUGGGUCAAGGGAAUGUUCUUCCUUUUGUGCAUAUGACUGAUGAAAAUGGGAAGAUCAUUAUACGACCUUUGGGUAAAGGGCUCUGGUGAAGUGGCAAAGGCCAUAAAUUACGCAAUACGAAAGACGUUUUAUAUGCCUAUCUAUAAUUGGAGUCUAUUCGACAAAGAGGAACACAGAGACACUUUAAAAGAAUGGUUUAAUUUUUUUUGGGUUCAGAUUCAAGCUUAUUGCAAUGAAAAAGUCAAGACUUUCAUAAUGUAUAUAUAAGAACCAGAGAAUAUAUGUUACAAGGUAUUUGUUUUUAUAGAGAGCUAGUUGGUGUACAUCAAUUACAGUAAAUCUUGCUUACCAUAUACUGUAAUUUUAUUAAGCUUUUUAUUCAUGAUGAUUAUGUGUACGUUGUAUUAAAGUAUGGCUUCAACUUACUUUUAAGAUUGAACAAGUUUGAACAUAGUCAACUGACAUCAAUUUUGUUGUGCUAGUAGUACCUUGUUAUUUUUAGUUUCUUACUAAAAAAUUUAUUACUCUAAGUCUCUAACUA